rnacentral:rRNA from 1 species
ACGGCUCAGUAACACGUGGAUAACCUGCCCUUGGGUCCGGCAUAACCCCGGGAAACUGGGGAUAAUUCCGGAUAACGCAUAUAUGCUGGAAUGCUUUAUGCGUAAAAUGGAUUCGUCUGCCCAAGGAUGGGUCUGCGGCCUAUCAGGUAGUAGUGGGUGUAAUGUACCUACUAGCCGACGACGGGUACGGGUUGUGAGAGCAAGAGCCCGGAGAUGGAUUCUGAGACAUGAAUCCAGGCCCUACGGGGCGCAGCAGGCGCGAAAACUUUACAAUGCGGGAAACCGUGAUAAGGGGACACCGAGUGCCAGCAUCAUAUGCUGGCUGUCCGGGUGUGUAAAAUACACCUGUUAGCAAGGGCCGGGCAAGACCGGUGCCAGCCGCCGCGGUAACACCGGCGGCCCGAGUGGUGAUCGUGAUUAUUGGGUCUAAAGGGUCCGUAGCCGGUUUGGUCAGUCCUCCGGGAAAUCUGACGGCUCAACCGUUAGGCUUUCGGGGGAUACUGCCAGGCUUGGAACCGGGAGAGGUAAGAGGUACUACAGGGGUAGGAGUGAAAUCUUGUAAUCCCUGUGGGACCACCUGUGGCGAGGCGUCUUACCAGAACGGGUUCGACGGUGAGGGACGAAAGCUUGGGGCACGAACCGAAUUAGAUACCCGGGUAGUCCCAGCCGUAAACGAUGCUCGCUAGGUGUCAGGCAUGGCGCGACCGUGUCUGGUGCCGCAGGGAAGCCGUGA